rnacentral:lncRNA from 1 species
GUUUUCAGCAGUGUUGUCAGACAUUUCUCAAGGUCUGAACCCUACACCAUGGAUGGAAGUUAAGUCUGGAUUGGCAAACACAAAUCAUGUUCCAAGUUCUGCCUUCCACCUGAGUGAAAUACAUCACCGCUUUCCCUGCUCCCGCCGCCAUUAAAAUUGUGUUUGGCAUCUGACCACCAAGAUACAGAUAUUUCCUAGACUGUUUUGCAGCUAGGUACUUAGUCUUGAAGCCAUCAAGCUCCAAUUGAUCCUCACUGAGGAAUACUGUCCUCUAAAUAUUAAGAAUCAGCUUUCUACAGGGGACCCUCAGACUGCCCAACUGUGGGACAUGAGAAAGGCAAGAUCUUGUCAUGGUCUCCCUUGGACCUGGCUGGAUACCACUUUCAGCAAGUCAUGGAGCCAAUUCUUCCCUGACAGCUAGCAAGAGGCCAAGACCCACAGAACCACCACCACCACUUCUCUAUCAGCAGGAAGCAAUUGCAGAAACCUGACUUUCAUUCACUUUCCCCCAAAUAUUGUGGUAUUGGACUCUUGAGUGGGGAAAUAUUACAGUAGGUAGCUAGUUAGACAUAAAGAGAGCAGGAAAAGUAUUUCCCCAUCCCCAGUCAAGAAUGUCAGACAAACCAUUAAGUGAUGGUCAGUUGGUUGUUACACUGUUUCUCAAAAUAAUAAUUGGUCACAGGUGUCACCAGGGAAAGGCAGUCUUCUAAUAGAUAGUAUAAAUCUGAAGCUGGUGAUUAGUAGCUACCUGAUAAGACCUCAGGAGUUAGGCAAGUGGACUCAAGCAUGCACAUUAAGAGGCAAAAUGGCAGCAUUUAACUGGUAUAUGACUGUAUUAGUUCCUUUUCAUGCUGCUGAUAAAGACAUACCAAAGACUGGGCAACUUACAAAAGAAAGAGUUUUAAUAGACUUUACAGUUCCAAAUGGUUGGGGAGGCCUCACAAUCAUGCAGAAGGCAAGGAGGAGCAAGCUACUUCUUACAUGGAUAGCAUCAGGCAAAAAAAAAGAGAGCUUGUGCAAAGGAACUCCUCUUCAUAAAACCACCAGAUCUUGUGAGACUUAUUAACUAUCAUGAGAACAGCAUGGGAAAGAUUCACCCCUUCCCACAACACAUGGGAAUUAUGGGAGCUGCAAUUCAAGAUGAGAUUUGAGUGAGAACACAGCCAAACCAUAUCAUUCCAGCACUGUCCCCUCCCAAAUUUCACAUCCUCACAUUUCAAAGCCAAUCAUUCCUUCCCAACAGUCCUCCAGUCUUAUUUCAGAAUUAACUCAAAAGUCCACAGUCCAAAGUCUCAUCUGAGACAUGGCAAGUCCCUUCUGCCUAUGAGCCAGUAAAAUCAAAAGCAAACUAGUUACUUCCUAGAUACAAUGGGAAUAUAGGAAUUGGGU